rnacentral:rRNA from 1 species
GAUGAACGCUGGCGGCGUGCCUAAUACAUGCUAGUCGAGCGAACUGAUUAGAAGCUUGCUUCUAUGACGUUAGCGGCGGACGGGUGAGUAACACGUGGGCAACCUGCCUGUAAGACUGGGAUAACUUCGGGAAACCGAAGCUAAUACCGGAUAGGAUCUUCUCCUUCAUGGGAGAUGAUUAAAAGAUGGUUUCGGCUAUCACUUACAGAUGGGCCCGCGUGGAAUUAGCUAGUUGGUGAGGUAACGGCUCACCAAGGCAACGAUGCAUAGCCGACCUGGGGGGGUGAUCGGCCACACUGGGACUGAGACACGGCCCAGACUCCUACGGGAGGAAGCAGUAGGGAAUCUUCCGCAAUGGACGAAAGUCUGACGGAGCAACGCCGCGUGAGUGACGAAGGCUUUCGGGUCGUAAAACUCUGUUGUUAGGGAAGAACAAGUACGAGAGUAACUGCUCGUACCUUGACGGUACCUAACCAGAAAGCCACGGCUAACUACGUGCCAGCCGCCGCGGUAACAC